rnacentral:rRNA from 1 species
UACCUUGUUACGACCUUUCCCCGGUCAUGAAUCACAAAGUGGUAAGCGCCCUCCCGAAGGUUAAGCUACCUACUUCUUUUGCAACCCACUCCCAUGGUGUGACGGGCGGUGUGUACAAGGCCCGGGAACGUAUUCACCGUAGCAUUCUGAUCUACGAUUACUAGCGAUUCCGACUUCAUGGAGUCGAGUUGCAGACUCCAAUCCGGACUACGACGCACUUUACGAGGUCCGCUUGCUCUCGCGAGGUCGCUUCUCUUUGUAUGCGUCAUUGUAGCACGUGUGUAGCCCUACUCGUAAGGGCCAUGAUGACUUGACUUUUUCCCCACCUUCCUCAGUUUAUCACUGGCGGUCUCCUUUGAGUUCCCGGCCUAACCGCUGGCAACAAAGGAUAAGGGUUGCGCUCGUUGCGGGACUUAACCCAACAUUUCACAACACGAGCUGAUGACAGCCAUGCAGCACCUGUCUCAGAGUUCCCGAAGGCACCAAAGCAUCUCUGCUAAGUUCUCUGGAUGUCAAGAGUAGGUAAGGUUCUUCGCGUUGCAUCGAAUUAAACCACAUGCUCCACCGCUUGUGCGGGCCCCCGUCAAUUCAUUUGAGUUUUAACCUUGCGGCCGUACUCCCCAGGCGGUCGACUUAACGCGUUAGCUCCGGAAGCCACUCCUCAAGGGAACGACCUCCAAGUCGACAUCGUUUACGGCGUGGACUACCAGGGUAUCUAAUCCUGUUUGCUCCCCACGCUUUCGCACCUGACCGUCAGUCUUUGUCCAGGGGGCCGCCUUCGCCACCGGAAUUCCUCCAGAUCUCUACCAAUUUCACCGCUACACCUGGGAAUUCUACCCCCUUCUACAAGAAUCUAGCCUGCCAGUUUCGAAUGAAUUUCCCAGUUUGACCCCGGGGAUUC